GAUGAACGCUGGCGGCGUGCCUAAUACAUGCAAGUCGAGCGAACGGACGAGAAGCUUGCUUCUCUAAUGUUAGCGGCGGACGGGUGAGUAACACGUGGAUAACCUACCUAUAAGACUGGGAUAACUUCGGGAAACCGUAGCUAAUACCGGAUAAUAUUUUGAACCGCAUGGUUCAAAAGUUAAAGACGGUCUUGCUGUCACUGAUAGAUGGAUCCGCGCUGCAUUAGCUAGUUGGUAAGGUAACGGCUUACCAAGGCAACGAUGCAUAGCCGACCUGAGAGGGUGAUCGGCCACACUGGAACUGAGACACGGUCCAGACUACUACGGGAGGCAGCAGUAGGGAAUGUUCCGCAAUGGGCGAAAGCCUGACGGAGCAACGCCGCGUGAGUGAUGAAGGUCUUCGGAUCGUAAAACUCUGUUAUUAGGGAAGAACAUAUGUGUAAGUAACUGUGCACAUCUUGACGGUACCUAAUCAGAAAGCCACGGCUAACUACGUG
rnacentral:rRNA from 1 species